rnacentral:rRNA from 1 species
GAUGAACGCUGGCGGCGUGCCUAAUACAUGCAAGUCGAGCGAACAGACGAGGAGCUUGCUCCUCUGACGUUAGCGGCGGACGGGUGAGUAACACGUGGAUAACCUACCUAUAAGACUGGGAUAACUUCGGGAAACUGGAGCUAAUACCGGAUAAUAUAUUGAACCGCAUGGUUCAAUAGUGAAAGACGGUUUUGCUGUCACUUAUAGAUGGAUCCGCGCCGCAUUAGCUAGUUGGUAAGGUAACGGCUUACCAAGGCAACGAGGCGUAGCCGACCUGAGAGGCUGAUCGGCCACCCUGGAACUGAGACACGGUCCAGACUCCUACGGGAGGCAGCAGUAGGGAAUCUUCCGCAAUGGGCGAAAGCCUGACGGAGCAACGCCGCGUGAGUGAUGAAGGUCUUCGGAUCGUAAAACUCUGUUAUGAGGGAAGAACAAAUGUGUAAGUAACUAUGCACGUCUUGACGGUACCUAAUCAGAAAGCCACGGCUAACUACGUG